rnacentral:rRNA from 1 species
GACGAACGCUGGCGGCGUGCCUAAUACAUGCAAGUAGAACGCUGAAGGAGGAGCUUGCUUCUCUGGAUGAGUUGCGAACGGGUGAGUAACGCGUAGGUAACCUGCCUGGUAGCGGGGGAUAACUAUUGGAAACGAUAGCUAAUACCGCAUAAUAGUAGAUGUUGCAUGACAUUUGCUUAAAAGUUGCAAUUGCAUCACUACCAGAUGGACCUGCGUUGUAUUAGCUAGUUGGUGGGGAAACGGCUCACCAAGGCGACGAUACAUAGCCGACCUGAGAGGGUGAUCAGCCCCACUGGGACUAAGACACGGCCCAGACUCCUACGGGAGGCAGCAGUAGGGAAUCUUCGGCAAUGGACGGAAGUCUGACCGAGCAACGCCGCGUGGGUGAAGAAAGUUUUCAGAUCGUAAAGCUCUGUUGUAAGAGAAGGACGAGUGUGAGAGUGAAAAGUUCACGCUGUGACGGUAUCUUACCAGAAAGGGACGGCUAACUACGUG